rnacentral:rRNA from 1 species
GACGGAGGGGGCUAGCGUUGUUCGGAAUUACUGGGCGUAAAGGGCGCGUAGGCGGCCAAUCAAGUUAGGCGUGAAAUCCCUGGGCUUAACCCAGGAACUGCGUUUAAUACUGAUUGGCUAGAGAUUGGUAGAGGAAAGUGGAAUUCCUAGUGUAGAGGUGAAAUUCGUAGAUAUUAGGAAGAACACCAGUGGCGAAGGCGACUUUCUGGGCCAAUACUGACGCUGAGGCGCGAAAGCGUGGGGAGCAAACGGG